UGCCCAGCAGAAAAGGGUCAACAGCAGCUGAACAUGAGCCAGCAGAGUGCCCAGGUGGCCAAGGAGGCCAAUGGCAUCGUGGCCUGCAUCAGCAAUAGUGUGGCCAGCAGAACUAGGGCAGGGAUUGUACCCCGUACUCGGCAGUGGAUUCCUGUUCAGCCAAGCCAGGCUUCUUCCUCGCCUGCUUGACUUCUGACAUUUGGGAAUUGCCUGUUCCUUAAGAGGUGAUGUUUGAAAAGUGAUCAGCACUGAUGGACUCCAGCACCUGCAAAAAAAAAUUUCCAAGGCAACGUUACUGACUAAUUCCUUGAGCAUCCUGAAAUCUGCUUCCCUCAAGUCCAGAGUAUAGGUUUUGCUGUCAUUUUUCCUCCUGUCAACAGGGAUUUUAAACUCAAUUGCUUCACAGUUGCUGUGGCAAAGACAGCCACCAAUCUCCACUUCACUCUGUUGUGAUACUGUUUAGUUGGUAUGCUGGUGUUCAACCAAAAGUUAGACACAAUACUCUUGGAGGCUUUUUCCAACCUUAAUGAUUCUGUUAUUCUAACAGAAAAUGAAUGGAAGGUAAGGAACGACCCACUUCACAUCUAAUUACUCUUUUGGUGGAAUUCCCAGAGAAGGGAGAAAGCAUGGGCAAACCAUAGAGAGAUAUUAAGUCAAGAGCCUGUAAGUUUCAGCACUACCAAGACCUGAAGAAGUUCAUGUAGCCACCUUUGAAAGUAUCAGGGCCUGGGCAUAGCACCAAAAAUUGAAAUUCAAAUAACGCAAUAAGGAAAAACUAUUUACUACUUUUUCUUCUUCUGUGGAUGAAGAGACACAUAAAGCAAAGAAAUCUACAUUAAAAAUAAGGCUAAUUAAUUUGUGAGAGGGGAGAAAAAACAAAACAAAACAAAAAUAGACUCAGACUUCAUUACCCUGACAGCUUUUACAUUGAUGUACAUAGAAAAAAUGGCAGACAGAGCUACAAUGGUUUCCUCAGGAUCGCUGAGGGACCUGGCAAACUGGCAGUAAUAUCACCAGGACAGGUUGUCCCUGACAGUUAGCAGGCAUAGUGAUUCAGCACAGACUGUCAAUUAAAAUCUUUAUAUCACAUUUUCUAUCAUCAUAGCAGCAGGCCAGAAUUGAUAUCCAACAUUAAAGACUGAAAAAAGGGUUUUAAUUAUUCUGAAUUAACAGAGAGAUACUGUUUAUAAAAGAUUUAUUAAAAGCCUUCAAACAGAAAACUGGGGGAGAAAAAGGGAUGGAAAAAACACUGUUCCACUUUAACUUGCUCAGUGCUUUUUAUGGAUUUGGAAAUAUAUAUCAUAUGAAAAUAUUUCAGUUCUUGUAUGCUGAUACCACAUCUAGGACAUUUUGGGUGUUGUUUAGUGUAAAUAAAUAGUAGUUCCCUUUGAGGAGCAGUAAGUGCCCUCAAAUACUGGAUGGGCCAGUAUUUGAGAGACUGGUAUGGGACUUUGAACUCUAUACUCAUCAUCCCCAGCUCAGACCUCAAAGCCUGAUGCCCAGUUCCCCACAGGUACAGAAACACAAGGGAUGACCUCAGGACCCAGUGGCUGAGAAAAAGAAAAGGUUGUUCCUAAAAUGUCCCCUGAAAAUAGUGUCUCCCAAAGGCAGCAAUACUAGCAAGAUCAGGCUCAGCAAGCACAUGCAAACCUCCCAAGGCCAAAGCAACAAAGAGCCACCAUUCCAGGUCUCUGUAUAUGGGCAGGACUAACCCUGAGCAGGCAAAGGGAACAGAAAAAGGCAAUUUUCCCCCAGGUAUGACAGGAAACUUUCAAAAUCAGCUUUGGAUAAUUAAGGGUGGGCUGUGAUUCUUCACUGCUCAUUGGACUCAAGAAGGAUAUAGACACUGGCAUGAUACCUGCAAGGAAUGAGAGAGAAGAGGAUGCAAGUGGAGAAGAUAAAAUCAUUGCCAAAAAUGCCUCUCCUGGGUCCUUAUCCCCCCAGGUGCAUGUAGCUGCAUUGCAGGGUACAGAAGCUAUAAGCUUUCUGAAGCUAGGAAAUGUAUGGUGUUGAACAUUUACAUUUGGUAAGUGGAGGAGAGAAACAGAAGAGUGACUUCCCAGCACUCACUGGGCUUGUUUAAAUUGCUUUUCACCAGCACUAUCAGCUGAACAGAUCUGUGCUAAGACACAAGCAAAAGCUAUUAGGAUAAUAGCAUGUAUAUGCACUUCAGAGUGGUACUGGAAAGUAUUGGAAUAGGGAUUAACAUCAAUAUGGAGAUAUACAGAAAAAAGGAAGGAAAAAAUAGGUGGAUGUAUUCAGAAGAAUGAGUGGAAAUACAAAGUUCAGGAGGGAGCAGUUUUCUAGCGCACAACUGCACAGAUCAGCAAGUUAGAUGGUACCCAAACAAAAUAUCCAGCACUGAAAUUAACAAUCAGUAAAAAUAGCCCAGCAGAAAGAUGGAGAUUCAUUGAAACAUAACACAUUAUCAUAAGCAAUUAUUAAGUUAAUUUUUUAAGGAUAUCAAGAAGUAUCUUUUUAUAAAGUAUAUCUUUAUAUACUUCAUAUGCUUUAUAAUAGGAAGAACUGAAGAAUCUGUUCAGAAAUCAGUACAGUGACAUAUGAAUAAUGUUUGUGGAGUUCAAGGACCUUCUCUAAGUAGUCCAGGAAAAAACAAACAAACAAACAAA